rnacentral:lncRNA from 1 species
GGUCUUUGUGGGGUUGGGGUGGGCGAUGGGGCGGCGGGGGCUGCCCGCCCUCACCCUGUCUCCUCUCCUCCCGCAGCCGGUUUGGUACCAAGUGCGCCCGCUGUGGCAGGCAGAUCUACGCCAGCGACUGGGUGCGGCGGGCGCGGGGCAACGCCUACCACCUCGCCUGCUUCGCCUGCUUCUCCUGCAAGCGGCAGCUCUCCACCGGCGAGGAGUUUGGCUUGGUGGAGGAGAAGGUGCUGUGCCGGAUCCACUACGACACCAUGAUAGAGAACCUCAAGCGAGCGGCGGAAAACGGCAACGGGAUCACGCUGGAGGGGGCCGUGCCCUCGGAGCAGGACAGCCAGCCGAAGCCGGCCAAGAGGGCGCGCACCUCCUUCACCGCCGAGCAGCUGCAGGUCAUGCAGGCACAGUUUGCUCAGGACAACAACCCCGACGCACAAACGCUUCAGAAACUCGCAGACAUGACGGGGACUGAGUCGGAGAGUCAUUCAG